ACGGGUGAGUAACGCGUAGGUAAUGUGCCCUCCUGCGGGGGAUACCGUUCCGAAAGGGACGUUAAUACCGCAUAACAUACUCCAGGGGCAUCUUUGGGGUAUCAAACUUCCGGGGUAGGGGGAGCAGCCUGCGUUCUAUCAGCUUGUUGGUGAGGUAACGGCUCACCAAGGCUACGACGGAUAACUGGUCUGAGAGGAUGACCAGUCACACUGGGACUGAGACACGGCCCAGACUCCUACGGGAGGCAGCAGUGAGGAAUAUUGCGCAAUGGGCGAAAGCCUGACGCAGCGACGCCGCGUGGAGGAUGAAGGCCUUCGGGUUGUAAACUCCUGUCAGUGGGGAAGAGAACGGACGGUACCCACUGAGGAAGCUUCGGCUAACUACGUGCCAGCAGCCGCGGUAAGACGUAGGGAGCAAGCGUUGUCCGGAAUUACUGGGCGUAAAGAGCUCGUAGGCGGGAGCGUGCGUCUGAAAGGAAAUCUCAGGGCUCAACUCUGGGGCUUUUUCAGAUACGGCGCUUCUUGAGUGUAACAGAGGAAAGCAGAAUUCCCGGU
rnacentral:rRNA from 1 species